GUUUAUUUUGUAUGUGCUCACAAUGAGGUUUCUGGAGGCUUAGUUUCUUCCCUGCAGGUGGUCCAGCUUUCCUAGGACCACAAGCGUAUUUUUCAUGCCCCUCUUUCCCCACAUGAGUUCAUUCCAUGCUCACAAAGCGGUCUCGUCUGUGCCUGACGCCAUGCUUCUUCCACGACUUCCUCAUUUCUUCCCCCGCUAUUCCUCUUUUCCUUUUGUGCCCAAAGCCUGGCUUCUUCAGUGCCCGAACUCUGGUUUCCCUUGACCCCACUGCCCGAUUUCUCCCAUGACCACACCUUCUCUUCACGUAGAAUCGCGGUUUCUUUCCCACGCCAGGAGCCGAGCUUCUCUCGUGAUCUUCAGUUUGGGGGGCCGUAGCUUCCUUGUGGGCACACUCGUUUUCAGAGGUGGAUAUGGUCAUUUCCUUAAGACUACACUCCUCCAUUUUGGGGGAAGAGAGAGUAACUUGAGAGUGAAAGAGGAGGGACAAUCCAUCUGCUCCUGUGGCUUCCAUCUUUAACCACCCCUCUCCUCCCUAGCAGUUUUCACUGUGUUUUCAUAGACGGCAACAGCAGCUCUUAGAAAGUUCCAGUAACCAGUGUGACAUCAGAGGGCAUCAUCAGGUUCUAUUAUGACACUGGGUGACCCCACUGCUUUCCCCUUUCUCCUCAUAACAGUUGAUUUUUGCCCUCCCCCAGCCUCCCCUUUACCUCAUUUCUUCAGGGGGGUCCUAAAUCCAAUUGACAAGCAUUCAUAGAGGUUUUGGGGCAGCCAGGUGGCCCAGUGGAUAGAGUGCCAGGCCUGGAUUCAGGAAGGCUCACCUUCUUGAGUUCAAAUCUGGCUUUAGAUGUUACUGUUAUUAGCUAUGUGACCCUCAACAAGUCCCUUGACUCUGUUUACCUCAUUUGUAAAAUGGGAGUCUUUAAACCGCUAUGAACAAAAAUGAGUCUUGGAGACUUGCUCCUAAAUUUAGGAGUAUUUAUUAGUAGAGAGAAAGAAGGAGAGAGAUGAGGUUUCCAGCCUUUCUAACUUCCCCAAACUAAGGCCCCAGCCAGUCCUAGAUUCUCCAUGGGCCCUGGUCCAUUUCCCAAGCAGCAGGCAGGGCCCAGCUACCCAGUCCUGAUAAAUUAAGGCCAGCCAAGGACUGGGCUUGAGUUCAGGAAGGGCCUGAGCUCCUGGAUUCCAGCCUGCCAAGGUCCCCACCAUGAUGCUGGCCAGAGAUGGUUUACAUAGAUGAGCCGGACAGUUGGGAGAGAGAGGGGUCCUUUUAUAAGGCCAACAGUGUGACCAAGAGCCCCUUUAGACUUCUCAAGCUCAGUCUAAGCCAUUCCCUCUGGGAUCCCUCAGUUGGCCCAAGGCUUCACCUCAGUCCCCGUAUGCCACAUCCCCUGACUUCUAUGAUUUCCACAGGUCAGGAAUCACCUGUGCCACCCUGGCUGACCAAGACACGUGACUCCUGUGGAUACUUAUUGUGGAGAGCCUUCUGAGAUUGGACUGGAUUGGAAGUUCUCCAGCCUGCCUCACAACCCCAGCAUUCUGAAAGCCCUUCCAUCCGGCUGAGCUGUGCCCACCCUCCGGCAGAUGCGGCUCUCUCCCUUUGUACCGGUCCAAUGAAAUGACAUCAUCAAACAUUUAGUAAGUACCUCUUAAGUUCCAGGUCCUGUGCUAAGCUCUGAAGACACAUAAAAUUGGGAAAGACUCCACAGGCACGUGGUCACCUGAGGAGCUAAUGGAAGGCCUGAGAUACUGCUUACUUCCAGAGCUGGACCCUCACAUCUUCCAAGUUCUGCCCUCAUUCCCUGUGCUUCCUUAGGGAAGCCAGAGAUAAUCCAAACCCAAAGGGAUUGCCAUUCCUGGAGCCAUUUACAUUUUCCAAAGGGCUUUCCUUAUACAGCAAUCCCGUGAGGCAGAUUCUUCCAUUGUUAUUGUUACAGAAAAGGAAACCAAGGUUCUGAGACCUUAAAUGCCUUCCAACUGGCAAAUAUUUGAGGCAGAACUCAAAACAAAGGGCUCCUGAAUCCAAGUUCAGUUUUCUUUUGUUUUUUAAUCUUUACUUUCUGUCCAAGAUGGUAAGGGCUUGGCAAUGGGGGCAAAGUGACACGUCCAGUCACCCAGCUAGGAAACAUCCAUCUAGCUGCCUCUCAAAUCUCAUUUUCUUUCCAUUGCUGUACAACCUGAAGACAGCGGUUGAUGAAUCAAUGAUCUCUCUGAUGGAACAACUUCUGUCUUUGACACAGAUUCUAACCCUUUUGUGGUCCUCUGGCUUCUCAACCUCUUGAGCUUUGUUGGCCUCAGUCUCCUCAUCUGUAAAAUGAGGACAGUGAUGGCACCUGCCUCAAAUUUGAUCAAAUCAGAUGGCUUUAGCUGCUGCCACUCCUCUCUCGGACCCAGGAUUCCUGUGCGUCCUGCCUGCCCUGGCUGUGAGUUACUGGCAAGCCCGAGGUAAGUGGCACCGCGAUGGCCACUGGGAGGUUAUCCCGGAAGCUCUAAUGAGAACAGUAAGGAACGGUUUUCCAAAUGAAAGCCGCAAGCAGGAAACCAAUGUGGUCCCAUAGCAACUCUUGGGCCCCAGAUGAAUAGACGCCAUUUCUAUAGGGGUUUUGCCACCAGGCACCUCCCAUUGUUAGCUCUCUCCAUCCCCACAAGAACCAGGCCCGGGAAGUAUAUCCUAUCACCUGUUCGUGCCCAUUUUCCAGAUUGGCAUUGGAGUCUGACAAAGUUAUGGGACUGACCUAAGGUCACACGGUUGGUAGGUGCUAGAAGCCGGCUUUGAACCCUUGCUUGGUGUCAGACUCCAAACAUAGUGUGCUCUACCCGCUUUCCCUCUCCGCCUCCCACUGUGUAGUUUCAGAUUCCCACGGACACCCGGGUGAGAGAGGGGAGAUGGGACUCAGAAAAGAGUAAAAACCAACAUAUUGAAGAAUCAAGAGUGAUCUUUGUAGAGAGGAUAGCUGGAACCAUGGGAACUUGGGAAAUCACCAGAAAAGUGAGCAUGCGGAGAGAAAGAGAAUAAGCAUUUCUAGAGUGCCUGCUGUAUACCAGAGACUAUGCUCAGCACUUUUACAAAUAUUAUCUCACCAGGACAGCUGGGUGGCUCAGUGGAUUGAGAGUCAGGCCUAGAGAGGGAGGUCCUGGGUUCCAAUCUGGCCUCAGACACGUCCCAGCUGUGGGACCCUGGGCAAGUCACUUGACCCCCAUUGCCUAGCCCUUACCACUCUUCUGCCUUGGAGCCAAUACACAGUAUUGAUUCUAGGACAGAAUGGAAGGGUUUAAAAAACCCAGCAAAUAUUAUCUCAUUUGAUCCUCACAAUAACCUGUUUUUACUCCCCAUGAAUCUGACAAGUGACUUGCCCAGUAAAUGUGAGGCCUGAUUUGCACAGGGAUCUUCCCGACACCAGAACCAGCACUUUAUUCACUGGGUCACAUGGGGCCUCAGAAGAGGUUCUGCCAGAGUUCUGAGAUCCAUCCGAACCUAGGAGGUGGGUAACAGGUGAUCCCGCAAAGACAACAGAAGAUGAUUCAUCAUGCUGGUAAGACAAGGACCAUUACAAAGCAGAAUCGAGAAAACUCAUUUCCUCCUGUAACAAAGAGAGGAAGAAUAUACUUUUUAACCCUUCCUUUCCAUCUUAGAAUGAAUAUCAGGUAUUGGUUUCAAGGCAGAAGAGCAGUAAGGGCGAGGCAUUGAGGGUCAAGUGACUUGCCCAGGGUCACACAGCCAGGAAGUAUCUGAGGUCAGAUUUGAACCUAGGACUUUCCGUCUCUAGGCCUGGCUCUCAAUCCACUGAGCCACCCAGCUGCCUCCAAUACUGUGCAUUGGUUCCAAGGCAGAAGAGCAGUAAGGGCUAGGCAAUGGCAGUGAAGUGACCCACCCAGGGUCUCACAGGUAGGAAGUGUCUGAGGGCAGAUUGGAACCCAGGACCUCCUGUCUCUUGGACUGGCCCUCUAUCCACUGAGCCAUCCAGCUGUCCCCCUUACAUAAACUUUUAAAAAGAAAGAAGGUACUAUGUCAAAUUCCUAAAAUAAAAAUGUCUUGAUACCCAAAUUAGAGGAAAAUCAAAGCAAGAAGCACUAACAAAUCAAUGGUACUAACACAGAUUGGUAAAAAUAUUCAAUAAAACUUAAGCAAAGAAACUGAGGUAAUAUAGAAAACAAUGGGAAGUAUGUAAAUGGAUAUUAUUCAUCUUCAACACAGCAAAUAUAAACAUAUCUAAAACCAAAAUCUGGUCUAUUCUCUCAAAACAAUUAUGGAAAACAAUGCCAAAGAGGGAUUGUAACUGAUCUCGCAGGCCCGAGUACCCUCUCCCUAUUCACAUCAGAUAUUGCUGUUAACCAGAAUUUUGUCACCAUUCAAUGCUGCAUUCACUGACAGCUGAAGUUGGCGUGUAUGUUGUUCUUUGUGUUUGCUGUCUUCUCGUGUUUCUUUGCAUCCUCUGCAUCCACUGUUCCAGAGAAUGUUGGAAUAACCUAUUACGUUUACAUGCCACAAUUAAUUGAACCAUUCCCUGUCUUUAGGCACGCCAUUUGUUUCUCCCUUUUUGCUAAUAUAGCCAGUACCACUAUAGAGAUUUUUGGACACAGGGACCUUUUCCUUCCUCCAGUAACCUCUUUGGGGAAUCAAGUCAAUAAGAGAAUCUCCAAGUCAUCCAAAGGCAUGGUGAAUUCGUAAUUCUUACCAAAAUGUUCCAAUGAACAGUGAAUUGGAACCGUGCCGUCAUGUCCCUUUCCCACCUUCUUUUCCCAUACUUCCUGGGAACUGGAGCGUCAGCAAUAUCAAGAAGUCAUGAUUUUUCAUUCGGUUGUGUUCUGCUACUUGGUUGAACCGAGCUCUCCAUCAUAUUGUUUGGUUGUUUCUCUGUAGUUUUCCAUGUAAACCAUGAUAGCAUUUUCGCAGAGAGAUCAUUUUAUCUGCCCUUCGCCAAUUAUUGUUCUGCCUGGAUAACCAACAUUUCUGGCACUUUGUGAAUAAUAAAGGUGAUGAUGGGCAUCUCAGCUCCAUUCCUGUCUCUGUGUUGGACCAUUGCAGAUAAUACCAAUAGUCGGUGGAGAUGCCUUAGAUGCAUUUUUCUCACAUUCAACAAAAGGCCUUUUGUUCCUGUGAUUAUUAGUGUUUGGGCAUCAACGACUGUACUUCAUAUGUAGCUUUUUGGAGAUACAUCUACGUAAUCAUUGCCAUAGCUUAUUGCGUUUGUUAUCAUUAAUAUAAUUUAAUAAGGUAACUGGUUUCCUUAUGUUAAGUCAUUCUCAAAUUCCUAGAAUAACUCCGACUUGGUCAAAAGAAAAGGAAUUCUUUUUUCUAUAUUAUUUUAGUUUCUUUGCCUGUAUUUUAUUGAAUAUUUCCCACCAAUUGAUGGUAGUACUAUUGCUUUAUAAUUCCCUUCUUGCUUUGCUUUUUCCUUAAUUUGGGUAGCAGGACAAUGUUUUUAUUGUAGAAGUUUGGUAUAGUGCCUUCUUUAUUUCCAAGUUUAUGUAGCAUAGAGAAUGAUUUGUCUUGGAGCUCUUCGUUAGAAGUCACAUUUAGCAUUUGGUCUCUUUCCUCCCUUAUGGAAAUUAAUUUUGUUCUGUUUUUCCUUCUCAAAGCAGGUGCUUUAUGUUAUUGGUUUCCCGUUCUGCUGAUGUGAGUAGCUGAUGAUUCUGUAGCUCUUCUUCCAUUUCAUUUAAAUGUUCAGUCUUGUUGGCUUACACAAGAGCAUAAACACUUCUGACAGUUUUCUUCCUUCACCUUCUACUGGUUGUCAUUUCCUUCCUCUCAUUUCUUAUUUUAAUAAUUUGGUCCUCUUCUUCUCUCUCUUUUUAAAAUUAAAUUAGCUAAUAGUUUUCCAUCAUAUCCUCAAAACCAGUCCUUUGUUUUGUUGAUUUCUUUGAUUUUAAAUUUAUUUCACGCUUGGUUUUCAAAAUUCCCACUUUGGGGCCUCUUUGGGGAUGAGUAAUGUCUAAAUUUUGAAUUGUUUAAAUGUUAGAGUCACUUCAUUAACCUUCUGUUUCUCUUGUUUGAAGCUAAGUGGUUAGGGAUAUACAUUUACCAUUAUAUUUGGAUAAAUUGAUUUUAUUUACAUAAAGAUUGCUUUAGCUAUAUCCCAUAAAGGUUAAUAAUAACAACAGUAAUAAUAGCUGGCCUUUAUAUCAUGCAUUAAGAUUUGCAAAAUACUGUGCAGAUAUUACCUGUUUGAUGCUCAUAAAAACCCUUUGAUUAAGUAGUAUUAUUAUAUAUGCCUUUGAAUUAAGUAUUAUCAUAAUUGCCUUUGAAUUAAGUGGUAUUAUUAUAUAUAUGCCUUUGAAUUAAACAUUAUUAUAUAUGCUUUUGAAUUAAGUAUUAUCAUAUAUGCCUUUGAAUUAAAUAUUAU